AUUCCGAAGGAAUAGAGUAAGGCCUCUACCUUAAGUGCUGCUAACGAGGCCACUAUUCCUGAUAAGGAAUAGAGUAUGGCCUCUACCUUAAGUGCUGCUAACGAGGCCACUAUUCCUGAUAAGGAAUAGAGUAUGGCCUCUACCUUAAGUGCUGCUAACGAGGCCACUAUUCCUGAUAAGGAAUAGAGUAUGGCCUCUACCUUUCCUAAGCCCGUAUUCCCUCCUGGG
rnacentral:lncRNA from 1 species